CCGCGGACGGAGCCCGAGGACCGUGAGGGAGGCAGGGGGUUGGGACCUCGGAGCCACCCGGAGCCGUGGGCGGCGGAGAGGAAGCGAACGUGUGUGACCCUGGCGGUUUGCCUUCUAGACGUUUCCGUGGUCACGCGAAUGAGAGAGAGAGAAAGAUCUUCCAUCCACUGGUUCACUCCCCAAAUGGCUGCAAUGACCGGAGCUACACUGAUCCAAAGCCAGGAGCCAGGAGCUUCCUCUGGUUUCCAUAUGCAGGUGCAGGGGCCCUAGGACUUGGGCCAUCUUCUACUGCUAUCCCAGGCCAUAGCAGAGUUAGACAGUGAGAGAGAGGAGAGAGACAGAGAGAAAGGUCUUCCUUCUGUUGGUUCACCCCCCAAAUGGCUGCUACGGCCGGUGCUGUGCUGAUCCAAAGCCAGGAGCCAGGUGCUUCCUCCUGGUCUCCCAUGCGGGUGCAGCGCCCAAGCACCUGGACCAUCCUCCACUGCCUUCCCAUGCCACAGCAGAGAGCUGGACUGGAAGAGGAACAACUGGGACCUGAACCCGGGGCCCAUAUGGGAUGCCGGCGCCGCAGGCAGAGGAUUAACCAAGUGAGCCAUGGUGCCAGCCCCAAGAUUUGUUUAUUUUAUUUCGGGCCCAGCACUGUGGUGUAGCAGGUAAAGCCACCGCCUGCAAGUGCUGGCAUCCCAUAUGUGCACCGGUUUGAGUCCCAGCUGCUCCACUUCCAAUCCAGCUCCCUGCUAUGGGCUGGACAAGCAGCAGAAGAUGGCCCAAGUGCUUAAGACCCUUCACCUGCAUGGCAGACCCGAAAGAAGCUCCUGGCACCUGAUCCCCGUAGAUCUGGCUGAAGUGGCCUUUUGGGGAGUGAACCAGCACAUGGAAGAUCUUUCUCUCUCCCUCUCUCUCUCUCUCUCUCUCUCUCUCUCUGCCUCACCUAUCUCUGUGAAACUCUUUCAAAUAAACCUUUUUUUUUUUUAAAAAAAGAUGUAUUUUAUUUGAACGGCAGAGUUACAGAAAGAGGGAGGGACAGAGAGAGAGGUCUUCCAUACGCUGGUUCACUCCCCACAUGGCCACUUCAGCCAGAGCUGGGCCAGACGGGAGCCAGGAGCUGCUUCUGGGUCUCCUAUGUGGGUGCAGGAGCCCAAGGACUUGGGCCGUCUUCCACUGCCUUCCCAGGUGCGUUAGCAGGGAGCAAGAUGGGAAGUGGAGCAGCUGAGACUCAAACCAGCGGCCAUAUGGGAUGCCAGGGCUACAGGCAGCUACCCACUACACCACAGCAUAGGCCCCAUUUCUGUAACUCUUAAAAAAAAAAAAAAAAAGUGGUGCCUGGACAUAGAAAGAGAAAAAGCACCCAAUAAAUAUUAGUCAUAUGGAAAAAGAGAAAGGGCUAGCAUCGUGGUGCAGCAGGUUAAGCCGGCACCUGCAAUGCUGGAAUCCCAUAUUGGAGUGCCAGUUCAAGGCCUGGCUGUUCUGCCUCCAAUCCAGCUCCCUGCUAACACUCCUGGGAGAACGUGGGAACAUGGCGCAGGUGCUUGUGCCUCUGCCACCUACGUGGGAGACCCGGAUGAAAUUCCUGGCUUCAGCCUGGCACAGACUCAGCUGUUGGGGCCAUUUGGGGAGUGAGCAGGUGGAUGGAAGCACUCUGGCUCUGCGUAAGCUCUGCUCAAAUAAAUAAAUCUUAGAAAAAAGAAAAAAAAAAAAGCAGUGCAUACAGUCUUUUGUGGAGGCCUAGAGGAAGGGGCAGUUUAGUUAUGUGGGGGACCAUGGAGUUUCAGAGCAGGUACUGUUGGGCCAUUCACAAGGAUGAGUGGGCUUGUCCAGGCAUGAGAGCAGGAGGAAACAUGAGAAGGCUUGGGUGUUGAAGAAGUAGAAGUAGUGGGUAGUUGUUUACGGCUGGAACCUAGGGUGGCUGCCAGUGGGCAGGGGAAGCAGAACUCAAGUCUCCACACUGUCCAGCCCCACUGGCCCCUGCAGUCCUUAGGAAACACCAAGCUCUCCCCAACUGCUGGAUCUUUGCACUUGAUGUUGCCUUUACUUAGAACUGCUCUCACAGCCACGUCCUUUCCGUGUUUUAGGAAACAUAAGUGGCACGUCCUGAGAAAGGCUGUCUGUGACAUUAGCUGUGCUCCUGGGACUCAAUCACAGUUCCCCAGUUGUCUGUUUUAUAACAGUGUCAUGUUUAAUCAAUCUAUAAUUUUAUUAUUUUGUAGUUCUAUCUCUGUUUCCCCUCAGAGAGAAUGUAAACUACAUGAGGGGUCCAGGCCAUGUCUACUAGUCCAUCACUAGCAUAGUAUCUGGUACAUAAAUAGCACUUAGUAGUUAUUGAGUAGAUGACUAACAAGGGCCCACUUUACUGUGCUAAGGACUUUAGACUUCUUUCUAUAGUUGUUUUGCUUGGGAGUGACCUUAUCAGAAUUUCUAUUUUAGUAUAACUUGUUGACAUCUCAACAGGUGAAAGGGGAUGAAAUGGAGGCCUUCAGAGACUGUGGCCAUUGUCCAAAUAAAGUAUGAUGAGCAUCUAUAACUAGACAAGGGGACAAAGACCAGCAUCCCUAGGGAAAGCAGGAGGAGAGCCCCUGUUGUCACACAGUGGGUCGAUGCCGGCAUCCCAUAUUGCAAUGCUGGUUGCUCAGCUUCCAGUCCAGCUUCCUGUUAAUGCACCUGGGAAGGCAGCAGAAGAUGGCCAAGUGUUUGGACCCCUGCCACCCACAUGGGAGACCUGGGUGGGGUUCCUUGCUCCUGGCUUCAACUUGGCCCAGAACCGGCUGUUGUGGCCAUUUGGGGUGGAAGAUCUCCCCCCCCCCACCUCUGUUACUCUGUCUUUCAAAUAAGUAUGUCUUUAAAGAAAGGAGAACAGAUUAGUUGUCACGUGGGGAUGGAGGCAGGGAGAAGGAAUGUGGUAGCAUGAAUUAUUAAAGGCAGAGAGAAGCUUUUGGAGUAAUGGAAAUGCUUAUUGUCUUGGUUGUGGUGAUGGUUUCAUGGGGGUAAACAUUAAGAAGCUUGGCAGUUUGUAUACUUUGAAUAUAUGCAACUUACUGCUCAUCAGUUAUACCUCAAAGCAAGAACACUUUUAAGAGAUUUAUUUUCACUAUUUGAAAAGUGGACUGACACACAGAAAUCUUUCAUCUGCUGCUUUACUUCCAAAUGCCCAAGCACUUGAGCCAUCCUCUGCUUCCUCUCAGGAUACGUUAGAAGGAAGCUGGAUCAGAAGCUCUCCCAUAGGGGAUGUGGAUGUCCUAAGCAGUGGUUUAACCUGCUGUGCUACAAUGUCUGUCCCUCUCUGUGCCAGCCCCCUCUCAUAGGCCUCUGUGAUCAGUGAGAGCGUGCUUGUUCGUGUACUGGACUGCAGCCUCCCACCAUUCCAGUAAACUCGUCUCUUCUGGAGAGUUUCUCUUUAGGUUGACAUACUCAUUCAUUCAUUCCCUUUCUUACCCCUGUAGAUUGUUAGCCUCUGGAGGUCAGAUUCUGUCCCAUUCAUGGCUGCCCAGAGGAACACCUGGCACAGAGUAGGUGCUAAGUAAAUGUCUGCUGUCUGUCCAACAUUCCCUCUCCCAGACGGACCGCGAGGCUGUGCCUGGAAGAGGCACCAGCACACAAAUGGCCCCCUUCACACAGCAGAGGGGCAGCCCCUUCCUCUAAGGAGACGCAUCUUUCUGGCCUCAGUAGCCUGCCCCUGUCUGGCUCAUUGGAGGCUUUGCUGUGCUGCCUACCCUCAGGCACAUUCCUGUAACAAAGGAGAAGUGAACAAAUAGGAUGGGUGGUUGGGGGUGUGGGCUUAAAGCACUCUGUCCAUGGUACUGAGAGCAUCAAAGGCCCUAGUGACCGAGUGAGGUGGUGUAGGGUGGAGAAGUAGGAGUCAGAGAAAAGGUGCUCAGAAUAUGGAAAGGCCCCAUCACCCAGGGGAAGAGGGGAGGUUCAGGCCCCAAAGUGGCCCCUGGGUAAAGGGCACUGAAAAACAGUUCCAGGAUGAGAGUUACGGUGCAGGAUGCCCACAUCCUAUGUCAGAGUACAAGUUUGAGUCCUGUCUACCCUGCGUCCAAUCCAGCUCCUUGCUGAUGUUCCUGGGAAAGCAACAACGGAUGCUCGGGCCCCCUGCCACCCAAAUGGGAGACUCAGAGUGCCAGACUCCUGGCUUCAACCUGGCCUGGCCAGCCUCGGCUGUUGUGGGCAUUUGGGCAUGGAACAAACAGAUGAAAGAUCUGUCUUGAGUUUCUCUUCCUCCUUUUCCCCCUGCCCCUCCCCCUUUGCUCUACAUUUCAAAUAAAUUUUUGUUAAAGUUCUCAGAGGAAACAGAAAUUUGAACCUGUUCUGAGGGUUCUUGUUUUGUUUUUACCUUUAAAAAAUAAAAAAAGAUUUAUUAUUUAUUUAUUUAUUUGAAAGUCAGAAGUAUACACAGAGAGAAGGAGAGAGAGAGGGAGGGAGGGAUGUCUUCCAUCUGCUGGUUCACUCCCAAAUUGGCUACAAUAGCCAGAGUUGUGCCGAUCAGGAGCCAGAAGCCUCUUCCGGGUCUCCCACAUCGUUGCAGGGGUCAAGGACUUGGGCCAUCUUCUACUGCUUUCCCAGGCAAUUGCAGGGACCUGGAUGGGAAGUGGAGCAGCUGGGUCUCGAGCCGGUGCCCACAUGGGAUGCCAGCACUGCAGGCGGCGGCUUCACAUGCUACGCCACAGUGCCGGCCCCAGUAAAUAAAUCUUAAAAAAAAAAAGAAAUAAUACCAAAUGCUCACUAGUAGACAUUUACUGGAGGCUGAGGACAGAAACAGUUGUGGCCUUGAAGGGCACCAGAAUAGACCACUCCAAAGUGAGCCUUUUUUUUUUUUAAGAUUUUAUUUAUUUAUUUAUUUAAGAGUACAGUUACAGCCGGCGCCGCGACUCACUAGGCUAAUCCUCCGCCUUGCGGCGCCGGCACACCGGGUUCUAGUCCUGGUCAGGGCGCCAGAUUCUGUCCUGGUUGCCCCUCUUCCAGGCCAGCUCUCUGCUGUGGCCUGGGAGUGCAGUGGAGGAUGGCCCAAGUGCUUGGGCCCUGCACCCCAUGGGAGACCAGGAGAAACACCUGGCUCCUGCCAUCGGAUCAGCGCGGUGCUGCGGCCGCGGUGGCCAUUGGAGGGUGAACCAACGGCAAAAGGAAGACCUUUCUCUCUGUCUCUCUCUCUCUCACUGUCCACUCUGCAUGUCAAAAAAAAAAAAAAAAGCACAGUUACAGAGAGAGGGAGAGACAGAAAAGUCUUCCAUCCACUGGUUCACUCCCUAGAUGGCUGCAACAGCCAGAGCUGGGCCUAUCUGAAGCCAGAAGCCAGGAGCUUCUUCCAGGUCUCCUAUGCACUUGGGCCAUCUUUGGCUGCUUUCCCAAAUACAUUAGCAGGGAACUGGAUAGGAAGUGGAGCAGCUGGGACUUGAACCCACACUUAUAUGGGAUGAUUGUAGACAGUGGCUUUACUUACUAUACCACAGUGCCGGCUGCAUCAGAGAAAUCUGAUAAAGCUUCUUUCCCAACAUGGUUGGAGUUGUUAUUGCUUGAACCCUACAUACAUAUUAUGUGCAUUAUUAGUAUAACAGUCAAGAGUUAAAAUCUGUUGCUGCCAUGAGGAAGUAGACUAGAGGGCGGGACAGGAGACUGGUGAGUCCACUGGAUGUGGGCAGCAGUUCAGGGUGCCCAAGGUCAGUGCCCUUCCCUACAUCACGAGCUGGGCCACCUGCUAACUGCGUGACCGUGAGUGAGUGAGUUGCACUCAUCCUCACGUGGACGGCAGGAGCACCUGCCUUGUGAGGGUUGCCACUCAGCACUCACUGUCCACUGUUAGGGCUGCCCAGGAAGAAAGGGUGUCUUUUUCUAACUCACUCAGAAGCCUUGACAAAGAUUCUUUGCUUGGACAAACUUGAGUGAAGUUUCUGUGCCUUCUCCUGGGCCCAUUCGUGUACUUCCUUACGCAGAUAUAAAAUGCAGCUGGAACGAAGACCCUGCUGAGUCAGUUUAGCCUUAACUCCCUUCCUUGAUAUCUGACCAGCUUCCUCAUCCUCCAUCCAUGUGAAGUCUGGUCACCCUGUCCUGUCUUCAGCAAGAAUCCGGCCAAGUCAGUUUAGCCAGAAUCCCCCUCAUCCCUGAUGUCUCCUCCCAGUAAUUUUCCAUCCUCUGACAGCUGUAAAUCGCCACUUGCCUGCGGUGCACUUAGCACUCUCUCCCACUGCCCACUGCACCACUCUGCUGCAAUAGACCCUGUACUUGUCAGAAAGUCCUGAAUAAAAGUGUUACUGUGGCCGGCGCCAUGGCUCAACAGGCUAAUCCUCCACCUAACGGCGCCGGCACACCGGGUUCUAGUCCCGGUCAGGGCGCCGGAUUCUGUCCUGGUUGCCCCUCUCUGCUAUGGCCUGGGAGUGCAGUGGAGGAUGGCCCAGGUCCUUGGGCCCUGCACCUGCAUGGGAGACCAGGAGAUGCACCUGGCUCCUGGCUUCGGAUCAGUGCGGUGUGCCGGCCGCGGCGGCCAUUGGAGGGUGAACCAACGGCAAAAGGAAGACCUUUUUCUCUCUGUCCACUCUGCCUGUCAAAAAAAAAAAAAAAAGUGUUACUGUACCCCAACAGGUGUCAUUGAGUCAUUUUAUUUAUUUAUUUUAAAGAUGUGUUUGUUUAUUUUUAAUAAUUUGUUAACCUAGGGGCCGGCGCCAUGGCUUGCUUGGCUAAUCCUCCACCUGCGGCGCUGGCAUCCCAUAUGGGCACCAGGUUCUAGUCCCAGCUGCACUUCUUCCAGUCCAGCUCUCUGCUGUGGCCUGGGAAAGCAGCAGAGGAUGGCCCGAGUACUUGCGCCCCUGCACCCGCAUAGGAGACCAGGAAGAACCUCCUGGCUCCUGGCUUCGGAUCGGCGUAGCUCUGGCUGUGGCGGGCAUUUGGGGGGUGAACCAACAAAAGGAAGACCUUUCUUUCUUUUCUCUCUUUUCUCUCUCUGUCUCUCUCACUAACUCUGCCUAUCAAAAAAAAAAAAAAAAGAAAGAAAAGAAAAGAAAGGCACAAUUACACAGAGAAGGAGAGGAAGAGACAGGUCUUCCAUCUGCUGGUUCACUCCCCAGAUGGCUGCAACAGUCGGGUGCAGGUCAGAUGAAAGCCUGGAGCCCUGAACUCCAUCCUGGCCUCCCAUGUGGGUGACCAGCCCAAGUACUCAGGCCGUCCUCCUGUGCCUUCCCAGGCACGUUAGCAGGAAUGCUGGACUAGAAGAGAAGCAGCCGGGACUCAAACCAACACUCACGUGGAAUGCAGGCAUUGCAGGCUGUGUCUUAUCCUGCCGGGCCACAACACUGGCCCUUGCUGAGUCAUGUUUACUUGAACCGCAUCCGUCAGCCUGCGGAGCCCUGUGCCAGCUCAGACUUUUUUGCCAGUUGGCACCAAGUUUGGUGGUGCCCUAGAAGAUGCUCAGAGGUUCUCAUUUUUCCCCAGGUGUGUUGACAGGAGGGAUGUAAAUACUCAGAGAAAUAACAUCAAGGACAGAAAUGAGGUCUGUCAAACAAGCUGAGCAAUGUGGGUGCUUCUGCCAGUGCACCCUAACCUCAGGCAGGUUCUUCUACCUCAAACUGGAUUCCCUGGUGGGAAGCUCCCAGGCCCCUCAAGUGUGUAGGUACAAAAUGGUGUGAGGUAACGGCGUUACCUCCUUGCUACUGUACCUGCCGCUAGCCGCAUGACAAGGGGCCGCCUCCCCCCUAGUGGUCGCUGAGGAUUCUGCACAUUCCCAGGGGUGAAGGUACUCUGGAGGGCGCUCCAGCCAGGUCCCACUCAUCGGGCAUAGGCAAAUCUUAUCAAAAAAGCGUAUUUGCAUCAGAGGGUGCUGCUGUUUACUCUUACGCUUCUACAUUAUAGUAUCCUUGUUUUCCAGAAGGAGAACUUACACAGCAGUGCUUUAAAACAGCAAAUUGAACACACUAUUUUCAGAUUCUCUUUUAAAAUCCUGUACAUGUUUGCCAGUUUUUUAAAAAAAUUAUUUGAGACGAAGAGAGAGCUCCUAUCUCCCCCAAAUCAUGCAGCAGUUGAAGUUGAGGGCCUGGAACUCAAUUCAUGUCUCCCAAAUAGGUGGCAGGGACCCAAUUACUUGAGCCACUACUGGCUACUUCCCAGGGUCUGUCUGAGUGGGAGCAGGGCCAGGACUUGGAUCCAAGCACUUGGAUAAGAUGGGAGCUUCCCAACUGAGUCUUGACCACCAGGCCUGCCCCUUCCUAGGGUUUUUGCCUUGUCCCUUAAGAGUUGAGAGUUGUAUUUUUUCUCGUGGGAGCACAUCACAUACUGGACUGUUUUCACCAUAUCCCGAGUCACCAGACUUCAUCAUUGUUGAUUUUAGGCGCCUAAUCUAGAAUCAAAAAUGUCCAUGUUAGGGGCCGCACAACAGGUUAAGCCACCAUUUGUGAUGCCAGCAUCCCAUAUUGGAGUGUCAGUUCAAGUCCCAGCUGUUCCACUCCAGCAUCCUGCUGAUGCACCUGGAAAGUCAAGAGAAGAUGGCCCAAGUACUUAGGCCCCUGUCACUCAUAUGGAACAUCCGGAUGGAGUUCCUGGCUCCUGGCUCUGGCCUGACCCAGACCUGGCUGUUGUGCCAUCUGGAGAGAGAACCAGUGGAUAGAAGAUCCAUUUUUGUCUCUGCCUCUCUCUCACUCUGCCUUUCAAAUAAAUAAACCUUUAAAAAGUCCAACUUUUUGUUUAAAGGUUUAUCUAUUUACUUGAAAGGUAGAAUUACAGACAGAGAAACACAGAGACAGAGACCUUCCAUCUGCUGGUUCACUCCCCAAAUGGCCACAACAGCCCAGGCAGGGCAGUCUCCCACAUGGGUACAGGGGCCCAAGCACUUGGGCAUCCUUUGCUGCUUUCCCAGGCUCAUUAGCAGGGAGUUGGAUCAAAAGUGGAGCAGCCAGGAUUUGAGCCAGUGCUCCUUAUGGGCUGCUGGCAUUGCAGGUGGCAGCUUAACCCACUGUGCCACAACACUGGCCCUAAAUUUGUUUAAUUGUAGUAAAAUAGACAUAAAAUUCACCAUUUUCACAAUUUUUGAAUGCACCGUUCGCUGGCUUUAGGCACAUUCACAUUGUGCAGUCAUCACCACUCCGCACCUCCAGCAUUAUCACCUUCCCCGACUGAAAUUGGACCAGGAAGCACAACUCCCUCCAGCCUCUGUCACCUGCCAUUCUACUUUUUGUCUAUGAAUUUGACUGCUUCUGGUACAAAAAUGACCAUUUCUGGUUUUUACAAGUGGACUUUUGUAUCCUAAACCUGCCAUGUUAUACAUCACGGUGUGCAAACUAUGAGUAAUUUUUUGUCUUUUUUUCUUCUAUUUGCGCUUUAGCAUGCAGGAUGAGUUUAUUGUAGUCAUAUAUAGCAUAAAUUCCACUGUCUUAACUUCUUCUAGUGUACAGUUCAGUGGCUUUAAGUACAUUCAUGAUGUUAUGCAACCAUCACCAGUAUCCGUUUCCAAAGCUUUUUGAUUAUACUGAAACCCUGUACUCAUUAAACAGUAAGUCCUCAUUCCCUUCUCCCCGAGUCCCUGUUAACCACUAUUAUACUCUCUGUCUACAAAUUUAUUUUAAAGUGUUAUUUAUUUGAAAGGCAGAGUUGCAGAGAUUGGGGGAAAGAAAUCUUCCAUCUACUGGAUCACUCUCCAAGUGGCCACAGUGGCUGGGGCAGAGCCAGGCUGAAGACAGGAGCCUGAAACUCCAGACUGGUCUCCCAUGUGGGUGGCAGGGGCCCAGGCACUUGGGCCAUCUUGUGCUGCUUUUCCCGGCCCAUAGACAGGGAGCUGGAUCAGAAGAGGAGCAUCUGGGACACGAACCAGUGCUCAAAAGGGUGCUAGUGUUGCAGGCUGAAACAUGUGUAUUUAAAGACAUACAUGUGCACAUCUGGCUAAAUUCCUGAAUUCUGUGGGUAAAGGGAGAAAUCAGCAAGUUUUCAUAAUGAAGGAAGAGGCUAUUUUGAUUACUAUUAUUUGUUCAAGAGAGAGGGAGAGAGAGAAAGGGAGAAAGAUCUUACAUCAGCUUCGUCCUGAUGCAGACCGUCAGAGGCAGCCGUGAUACCUCAAAUACUUGGGUCCCUGCCACCCAUCCUGACGACCUGGAUUAAGUUCUGUGCUCCCGUCUUCAGCUCUGGCUGAAUCCCAGCAAUUGUGGGCAUUUGGAGAGUGAACCAACAGAUGGGACCUCUCUCUGUGUGACUCCCAAAUAAGUAAAUACAAGCUUGUAAAAAAGAAUCAAGCUGAGGCCGGCGCCGUGGCUCACUUGGUUAAUCCUCCGCCUUGCAGCGCUGGCAUCCUAUAUGGGCGCCGGGUUCUAGUCCCGGUUGCUCAUCUUCCAGUCCAGCUCUCUGCUGUGGCCUGGGAGAGCAGUGGAGGAUGGCCCAAGUGCUUGGGCGCCUGCACCUGUGUGGGAGACCAGGAGGAAGCACCUGGCUCCUGGCUUCGGAUCGGCAUAGCUCCAGCCGUGGCGGCCAUUUGGGGGGUGAACCAACGGAAAGAAGACCUUUCUGUCUGUCUCUCUCUCUCACUGUCUAUAACUCUACCUGUCAGAUAAAAGAAAAAUUAAAAAAAAAAAAAAAGAAGCUAAAGUAGUUAAACAGAGUGGUAUUGAUAUGUUACAGUAUAUGCAGAAAGUUUGAAAGACUAAGACAAAUAUAUAAAAUUUCUAGAAGAAAUUAUCUCUGGGGGUAGGAGCAGGCAAUGAGAUUUUUCUUUUCCAAUGUGACAUUUUAAAAACAUCAUGGGGGCCAGGGCUGUGGCACAGCGGGUUAAUGCCCUGGCCUGAAGUGCUGGCAUCCCAUAUGGGUGCCGGUUUUAGUCCCGGCUGCUCCUCUCCUGAUCCAGCUCUCUGCUGUGGCCUGGGAAAGCAGUAGAAGAUGGCCCAAGUCCUUGGACUCCUGAACCCACGUGGGAGACCGGGACGAAGCUCCUGGCUCCUGGCUUCGGAUUGGUGCAGCUCCGGCCGUUGUGGCCAACUGGGGAGUGAACCAGUGGAUGGAAGACCUCUCUCUUGUCUGUACUUCUCUCUGUAACUCUGUCUUUCAAAUAAAUAAAAUAAAU